GACGAACGCUGGCGGCGUGCCUAAUACAUGCAAGUCGAGCGGGCCUCCGGAGGUGCUUGCACCUCCGGAAGGCCAGCGGCGGACGGGUGAGUAACACGUGGGCAACCUGCCUUUGAGGCCGGGAUAACACCGGGAAACCGGUGCUAAUACCGGAUACGUCCUCUUUCGCGCCUGCGAGAGGGGAGAAAGACGGUCUUUAAGGCCGUCGCUCAAAGAGGGGCCCGCGGCGCAUUAGCUGGUUGGUGGGGUAAGGGCCUACCAAGGCGACGAUGCGUUACCGACCUGAGAGGGUGAUCGGCCACACUGGGACUGAGACACGGCCCAGACUCCUGCGGGAGGCAGCAGUAGGGAAUCAUCCGCAAUGGGCGAAAGCCUGACGGUGCAACGCCGCGUGAGUGAGGAAGGUUUUCGGAUCGUAAAGCUCUGUUGUGAGGGAAGAACAGCUUCCGGAGGAAAUGCCGGAGGUUUGCCGGUACCUCACCAGAAAGCCCCGGCUAACUACGUGCCAGCCGCCGCCGUAAAAC
rnacentral:rRNA from 1 species